UACGAAGGGGGGCUAGCGUUGCUCGGAAUUACUGGGCGUAAAGGGCGCGUAGGCGGCACUGUUAGUCAGGCGUGAAAGUCCUGGGCUCAACCUGGGAACUGCGCUUGAUACGGCAGAGCUAGAGGAUGGAAGAGGGUCGCGGAAUUCCCAGUGUAGAGGUGAAAUUCGUAGAUAUUGGGAAGAACACCGGUGGCGAAGGCGGCGACCUGGUCCAUUACUGACGCUGAGGCGCGACAGCGUGGGGGAGCAAACAGG
rnacentral:rRNA from 1 species